rnacentral:lncRNA from 1 species
GAUGGACAUUUUGAUUGUUUCCAACAUUGCUAUUACGGGUAACACCGGAGCAAACAACUCUGUUCAUAAGCCAUUUUACAAAUCUGUGCCAGGACGCUGUCAUCAACAUCUACUGUUGUCCAUAAGCACUUUGUAGCUCAGCUGUUGGACAAUGAAGGGCACCGCUGGGGAGCUACCUGGGAACUUACUGAUAAAAACACAUGGAAGAGCAGCAAAGAUGUAAUGGACAUAUAAACUUUAAAUACCAAGAAUUCGUGAAGAUUAACUCAAGUGUUGGGUUUGGGCAGGGCUACCCUUCGUUGAUCUAAAUAAAUAGCUUUCUGAA